UCCUCCUCCUCCAUGUCCUUCACUUUCUCUUUCUCCUCGCCUCUGGACAGAUUGCUGCUCAUUAUUUUACAAUGAGAUAUUUUGUUGCAGUGGCCUCAUGUGCCUUCACACCCAGUUGACUUCAUGGUUUACUGUUGGCAAGGCAGUUGGAUAGAAAGCAGUACUUUUGAUUUCUCCUGCAAUGCUCCCUGAUCACUUGUAGGAACAAAGGAAGAAACAGGAGGCUGUCUGUGGGGUGGGUCACCAGCAGGGACAAAACCACCUCAUCCUGUCUCUGAAGAGGGAGCACUAUUUGUUUCCAGGGUUUCCUUGUUAAUGACCAUGCAGAAAA
rnacentral:lncRNA from 10 species